rnacentral:rRNA from 1 species
ACGGCGCACACGAGACCGCGCGGGGUAGGAAGUCCCAGUCUUGUCGCGCCCCCCUCGAGCUCGACGUGGUGGGCGGCGGCGAGGGGCACGUCCGACAAGUGGCUGCUCGAGGACGUAGCCACGGUAGAAGGACGGGACGAGGUGGACUUGAGAGAGGGGACUAACUAGAGAGAGAGAGACACACACACACACACACACACACACACACACACACACACACACACACACACACACACAACACAAGAAGUUUAUCGUAGUCGAUUCACGAUAAUCUACUAGUAUAGAUCAACGCGUUAGGAGACAAAACGACGAAUGACCCUCUCGGAUAUAUGUGAUUGAUAAGAACGAUACCUUAGACAUUCAAACCAGGGUUGAGAAGAACGACGUCCUGGAACAACGAACGUAGCGGCACAGAAAACCGUUCCUCAUUUAAUAGUAAACCUCCCCUUGUCUGACUACUUUCGUAUGUCCUAUCAUACGUUUUCUGUAAGGGAAGUCAAGAACUUAGUCUCACGGCGUCACUUCUCGUUCUACGAAAAAACCAACUACUUAACCAGGCUUAUCUAACUCUCCGGUGCUGGUGGUCCAAGGAGAGAAAACCAGAACACCACUUACGAGAUAACCCCACAAGGGUAUCACUAGCUAUGUACGACUCUACCUCCUUUCUCGAGCCACACUUGUACUAGGAACUCCGCUAGUGCGACUGGAUGUCGUUAGAAACGAAUUACAGGUUGUAAGUUGCUCGAGUGCACCUGUCCCAAAACUCAAACUGGCGGGGGACCGCUGUGCUCGGACGGGAGGAGACGUGGUGGGGACCACCGCUCGGGACGGAGACGACGACUCCGACGGCGACGUAGUGAGGGAGGGGGACGAGUAGAAACACGGACGGUCAACCAAAUCCACCGUCGUCAUAUUCUACAAUAGCGACCAGACAACGGUUAAAUGGUACUUGGUAGGAUGAUCGCAUUGCAUACGUAAAUAGGUUCCUUAUGACAUGGAAGGUCUAAAAGAGCAUAUAAACAUGGUAUGUAUGAAUAAAAUAACAACACAACAGUUUUAUCUACUAGUACAGUUGUGUAUUUAAGUCAUUGACUAUAAUGUCGACGUCGGAGUAUUUCGUGUUCAUGACCACGAGACAAAAGAUUAGAAACCAAAAAAAAACACAAAUUUAAGGUG